rnacentral:rRNA from 1 species
AGUAUCGUACGAAUAAGGAUCGGCUAACUCCGUGCCAGCAGCCGCGGUAAUACGGAGGAUUCAAGCGUUAUCCGGAUUUAUUGGGUUUAAAGGGUGCGUAGGCGGUUUGAUAAGUUAGAGGUGAAAUUUCGGGGCUCAACCCUGAACGUGCCUCUAAUACUGUUGAGCUAGAGAGUAGUUGCGGUAGGCGGAAUGUAUGGUGUAGCGGUGAAAUGCUUAGAGAUCAUACAGAACACCGAUUGCGAAGGCAGCUUACCAAACUAUAUCUGACGUUGAGGCACGAAAGCGUGGGGAGCAAACAGGAUUAGAUACCCUGGUAGUCCACGCAGUAAACGAUGAUAACUCGUUGUCGGCGAUACACAGUCGGUGACUAAGCGAAAGCGAUAAGUCAUCCACCUGGGGA